AAUACAGCUGUCAGAUAGAACGUCUGCUACAAUGAAGAUCGACAAUGUAACGCAUAAGCACAUUUAAAUGAUAUCUUCACAGAAGAAUUGAAUACCAUAUGGAAAGCUGACAUCAAGCAGCAAUUAGAACGACAAGACAAAACAUGAUGGACCACUAUUAAGUAAAUGAGUACAACAUAUAUUAAUAUGUGAAGAGACUUUUAGCACCAACCUGAACAACAAAACAAACAUGAAUUAUAUAUGUAGAUUUUGAAAUUUAACAAAGACCAAGAUGUGAAGAGACUUUAAGCACCAACCUGAACAACAAGACAAAAAUGAAUUAUAUAUGUAGAUUUUGAAAUUUAACAAAGACCAAGAUGUGAAGAGACUUUUAGCACCAACCUGAACAACAAAACAAACAUGAAUUAUAUAUGUAGAUUUUGAAAUUUAACAAAGACCAAGAUGUGAAGAGACUUUUAGCACCAACCUGAACAACAAAACAAACAUGAAUUAUAUAUGUAGAUUUUGAAAUUUAACAAAGACCAAGGUCAGUUCAAUUUGUGCCGCAGUUUGAACAUCAAUAAAAAAUAAAGGGACAGAAUAAUGAAAUAUAUUA